AAGAAAAAGAAAAAAAAAAAAAAACUGAAAAUGUCAAUCAAAAACAAGACAACCAAUCACAUUACACCACACCGGUCACAUGACACGGAUUCAGCAUCCAGCAUCAGCAGAAUAUGAAUAAAGAUGGAGAAGAAGGGUGGUAUCGUCUCCACCCUUCAUGCUGCAGCAGGAACAGAAUAAAACAACCAAGAACACGAAGAAAUAUUUGUUCACUUUGAGGAGAAAAAUCUGUAAAACGAAACAUCCGCCUCCGUUGAUGAUAAACUCCUGACGUAGUUUCAGACUCCACAGUUUGCAGGUCGUGACAAAGGUGGAGAACAAAGGCAUGCAGGAGCACCACCUGCUCACACACCACUGACGCAGAACAGGUGGAGAACAUCAGAACAGGUGGACAACAGGUGGAGAUCAGACAGGUGGAGAACAGGUGGAGAUCAGAC